rnacentral:lncRNA from 1 species
GCAGGUUCCGAUCUCGAGCCAGGGGCCUGGGACCAGGGUGGGGGUGGGGCCCACACGGGGCCUCCAGGAGGUGGGACUGUCAGGGCGGUCAGAGUGUCGGCCAAAACGGGAGGUCAGAGCCAAAGAGAACGUGGAGCGGGAGGUCUGGGGAGUUCUCCCCUUGGUGGACUCCUGAACUUCCCCGGGAUGGAGGACGGGGGUCAAGUCAACCUCGUGGGAUCUGAGGGAGCCGAGAACUCAGGCCAUCCUGGGGUUGUAGGGGGACAGGAAAUACUCAUAUCUUCCGUGUCGGUGGGCUGGUGGGGGAGGCCCGGAGACACCUGCCCCCAAGAAGCCCAGGGCACCUGCAGUUUGGGGCAGGAAAUGGCCUGAGUCCCUUUCACGGCACCAGCAUCCAGGGGCGCCCCUUUGCUGGUACAUCCGGGUGACGGGAUCCCACACUGCCACCCCUUCCCUCUUCAACCAGCCCUGACUGGCACGCCACUCUCCAUCCGAGCCAAAGCCUGCCCGGUCUGCAGCUACCCCUCGUCAGCCUGUGUUCUGACAGCACCCAAAGCCCUGCCAGCAUGAGCCCCCACCGCUUGGCAGAAACGCCACACGUCACCUCUCACCUAGCAGGAGGGAAACCGAGGCACAGAGAGCCGAGGGCCGGAGACUUCUCUGACAACUCGCAGGCUACCCUACAGCUCAGCCUCAGAAUGUUACCUGCCUCAUGGCAUCUUCAGCCAGGUGUUCCGAUGGCUUCGUGAGCUCAACGUGUCCAGAAAGGAUCGCCUGUCCGCCCCUAUGCCCACCACGCUAGGCUGGAUAACAGCCCCCAAAGACAUCCCGGUCCCUGGAACGGACGCCUUCCUUCCCUUAUACGGCCAAAGGGACUUUGCAGGUGUGACUAAGCUAAGGAUUUGGAGAUGGAUUAUCUGAGGGCCAAUUAGUCACAAGGGACCUUAGGAGAGGGAGGCAGGAGGCUCAGAGUCGAGACAGAAGCAACCAGGACAAAAGUCAGAGAAGAGAGGAUGCUAUGCUGCUGGCUGUGCAGACGGAGGAAGGGGCCACGAGCCGAGGGAUGCGGGCAGCUUCUAGCAGCUGGAAAAGGCCAGGGAAGGGAUUCUCCCCAGAGCCUCCAGGGGACACCAGCCCUGCCCACACCAUGACUUUGGCCCACUGAGACCCGUUUCUGACCUCCAGAGCUACAGGAGAAUAAAUCUGCGUUGUUUGAA